UACGAAGGGGGCUAGCGUUGUUCGGAAUUACUGGGCGUAAAGCGCGCGCAGGCGGUCUUCCAAGUCAGUGGUGAAAGCCCGGAGCCUCAACUCCGGAACUGCCAUUGAAACUGUUAGACUUGAGGAUGAGAGAGGUGAGUGGAAUUCCCAGUGUAGAGGUGAAAUUCGUAGAUAUUGGGAAGAACACCGGUGGCGAAGGCGGCGCUCUGGACCGAGACUGACGCUGAGGCGCGAAAGCGUGGGGAGCAAACAGG
rnacentral:rRNA from 1 species